AUGAAUACACUUGUUCGCAACGGCACUCUGACCUUCAGCCGCAGACACAGAUAUGAACUUGUCAGUCUUCAAAGGAAAGAAACCUGUCUCAAAUCUAUCAGCUACAGACGAAGAAGAGCGAAACAAAGGAAAAUAUUUCUCACAACUUAUAAACUAUCUUCUUUGAAUCAUUUUGUAGAGCCUAAAAGGCCUAAGAUUAAAAGGGCCGCUCUUAAGUUUUUCAUUGUGUGA